rnacentral:hammerhead_ribozyme from 1 species
AUACUGAUGAAGAGUCCCAAAAACCAGGACGAAACAGCUGUUCAGUAC